rnacentral:rRNA from 1 species
AGGGUGUAAACGCUGCAGACUUGGUGUUGGGGGCCCUUUGGGGGCGAUUCAGUGCCGGAGAGAAGUUGUUAAGUCUGCUACUUGGGGAGUACGUCCGCAAGGAUGAAACUUAAAGGAAUUGGCGGGGGAGCACCGCAACGGGAGGAGCGUGCGGUUUAAUUGGAUUCAACGCCGAAAAACUCACCAGCAGCGACUGUUACAUGAAAGUCAGGUUGAUGACCUUACUAGAUUUUCAGAGAGGAGGUGCAUGGCGUCAGUGACU